GAUCCGCUGAUGGCUGGCAUGCCUUGGGAGAGGCUAUUCUACUUGAGUAUAUAUCCAUUUAUGGCCCAGUUAUUUAAGUUUUUUACCUUAAGGGAUGUGUGUGUGUGUGUGUGUUGUUGUUGUUAUUGUUUUAUUUUAAGGUAUGCGUGUGUGUUGUUAUUGUUUGUUUGUUUUAUUUCCACUGUAUCAAAAAAAAAAAAAAAGAAAGAAAGAAAGAAAAGAAACCAACUAAAGAGUAUGUUUGAGUUCAGGAAUAAUCAGAGCUAAUUUUCCUUGGGAUACAGGCAUUAUUUUCAAUAGAAAAUAAAAUUCUGUAGAUAACAACAUGUAUUCACUUUGGCAGCAAAGUCAAGCACUUACAAAAUGACAUGGAUGUAAAAUGGUUUGCUUAACCUUUGUGCUGCUCUCUGGAAACGUGCUAGGUAACAUAGAAACUGUGCAAGGUUUGAGGUUACUUAAAGUCUUGCAUUCCUGAAGAAUUAAACAAAAAGCAGACUCUGGAUGUAUCUCUAAUGAAUACAUACCUAUUGUUAGCUUCCGUUUCCCUUCCUUCUUGAAGAAGAGGCCUGACUGAUUUCUUACAGAAACCUAUCUACUCCCUCCACUCAGCCUUGCGAGUUAGGGGCACCAGCCUCACCUGCUCUGAAGCUGGGUCCUGAUGGGCAGCACCAAUCUGGAUAUACAGCUUUGUUUAUAGUCACAAAUGGCAUGAAACCAACACAGAUAAGCCAUCCAGAGUAGCUGAAAAUAUUUUUUUUCUUAGUAUCCUGGCAUAGAUUCUCUCCUUGCUUCACUCAUGAAGAUUCAUGUAACUCAGUCCACAUGAAAGCCGAUUUAGACUCCUAAUUGGACAAUGUAAGUGUCCAAAAUGGAGUCAGCCUCAAGAAUGUAACAAAUUAGCCGGAUGUGGUAGCGCACACCUUUAAUCCUAGCACUUGGGAGGCAGAGGCAAGCGGAUCUCUGAGUUUGAGGCCAGCCUGGUCUACAGAGUGAUUUCCAGGACAGCCAGGGCUAAAAGAGAAAUCCUGUCUUGAAAAACCAACAAAACAAAACAAAGAAUGUAACAAAUUAAUGUAAUAAAUGUAAAUAAUAUGUAAAAUGUAAUAAAACCAUGUUCUAAGUCACAUAUGGGAUUCUGGGUCAGCUCUUACCCUUGGCAACAUGUACCUGUGGAGUUUUUAUUUAAGUGAAAAAUAAAUUUAUUUU
rnacentral:lncRNA from 1 species